UACGUAGGGCGCAAGCGUUGUCCGGAAUUAUUGGGCGUAAAGAGCUCGUAGGCGGUUUGUCACGUCGGAUGUGAAAGCCCGGGGCUUAACCCCGGGUCUGCAUUCGAUACGGGCAGACUAGAGUGUGGUAGGGGAGAUCGGAAUUCCUGGUGUAGCGGUGAAAUGCGCAGAUAUCAGGAGGAACACCGGUGGCGAAGGCGGAUCUCUGGGCCAUUACUGACGCUGAGGCGCGAAAGCGUGGGGAGCAAACAGG
rnacentral:rRNA from 1 species